UCUUUGUCUUUUUCUUCUUUUUCUUCUUUUUCUUCUUCUUGUUGUUGGUGGUCAACUUCGUCUUCAGUAUCUUCCUCAGAUUUGGGAGAUGAAGGAGGAGAAGGAAGAGGAGAAGCACCAGUCUCUGUUUGUUGUUCCAUUUUCUUUUUUAUCCUGAAGAAUGCGAACGGAAGGAGAAA
rnacentral:ribozyme from 13 species